AGUAAUGCACUUGCCCGAAUUGUAUUUUUAGUAUGUUUCAUUAAUAUUCGAAGGAGGCGGAGCCAGAAAUUUAUCGGGAAAUCAGGUUUGGACUGAAGUGGAUGAAAUGUGGAGGAAAAUUUUAUAGGAAUAAAUUACUCCCACCCUAAGAUAAAUUAUAUGGGAUCCGUUUUUAUGACUUCUUGGUCUUGCUAUUUUCCGUUUCUUCUCCAAGUUGUCGUCUGUAAUUUGAACACUACUGUUGCUGAAUGGGUGAUCUUGGACAGCUUCCGGAACAUCAGAUGACACCGGAAUAUAAGCAGACGAUGGCUUGGCUGGAGUCUAUAUAUUUGGGAAAUACUUUUUCUUGAAUGUUAUAUAUCAAGACUUUUACCUUUCAUAGAUAUAAAUUUUAAAAGAAUGGGUGUAUGAAAAAAUAAUAAAUCUAUAAAUUA